UGACGGUACCUGGAGAAAAAGCAACGGCUAACUACGUGCCAGCAGCCGCGGUAAUACGUAGGUUGCAAGCGUUGUCCGGAUUUACUGGGUGUAAAGGGCGUGUAGGCGGAGCUGCAAGUCAGAUGUGAAAUCCCGGGGCUCAACCCCGGAACUGCAUUUGAAACUGUAGCCCUUGAGUAUCGGAGAGGCAAGCGGAAUUCCUAGUGUAGCGGUGAAAUGCGUAGAUAUUAGGAGGAACACCAGUGGCGAAGGCGGCUUGCUGGACGACAACUGACGCUGAGGCGCGAAAGCGUGGGGAGCAAACAGGAUUAGAUACCCUG
rnacentral:rRNA from 1 species